AGUCACUGACAUUAGAUACCCGGGUAGUCCAGGGUGUAAACGCUGCAGACUUGGUGUUGGAAGUCCUUUGGGGGGCAUUCAGUGCCGGAGAGAAGUUGUUAAGUCUGCUACUUGGGAGUACGUCCGCAAGGAUGAAACUUAAAGGAAUUGGCGGGGGAGCACCGCAACGGGAGGAGCGUGCGGUCUAAUUGGAUUCAACACCGUAAAACUCACCAGGGAAGACUGUUACAUGAAAGCCGAGAUGAAGACUCUGCUAGAUUUUCAG
rnacentral:rRNA from 1 species